GAUGAACGCUGGCGGCGUGCCUAAUACAUGCAAGUCGAGCGAACAGACGAGGAGCUUGCUCCUCUGACGUUAGCGGCGGAAGGGUGAGUAACAUGUGGAUAACCUACCUAUAAGACUGGGAUAACUUCGGGAAACCGGAGCUAAUACCGGAUAAUAUAUUCAACCGCAUGGUUCAAUAGUGAAAGACGGUUUUGCUGUCACUUAUAGAUGGAUCCGCGCCGCAUUAGCUAGUUGGUAAGGUAACGGCUUACCAAGGCAACGGUGCGUAGCCGACCUGAGAGGGUGUACGGCCACACUGGAGCUGAGACGCGGUCCAGACUCCUACGGGAGGCAGCAAUAGGGAAUCUUCGGCGAUGGGCGAAAGCCUGACAGAGCAACGCCGCGUGGGUGAUGAAGGUCUUCGGAUCGUAAAACUCUGUUAUUAGGGAAGAACAAAUGUGUAAGUAGCUAUGCACGUCUUGACGGUACCUGAACAAAAAGCCACGGCUAACUACGUG
rnacentral:rRNA from 1 species